rnacentral:rRNA from 1 species
AACAAACGCUGGCGGCGUGCCUAAUACAUGCAAGUCGAACGAGGUAGCAAUACCUAGUGGCGCACGGGUGAGUAACGCGUGGAUAAUCUGCCUUCGAGUGGGGGAUAACUAGUCGAAAGUUUAGCUAAUACCGCAUAAGACCACAGGAACUGAGGUUCUAGGGGUUAAAGGUUUUUCGCUCAUAGAUGAGUCCGCGUGAGAUUAGCUAGUUGGUGAGGUAACGGCUCACCAAGGCGACGAUCUCUAACUGGUCUGAGAGGAUGAUCAGUCACACUGGAACUGAGACACGGUCCAGACUCCUACGGGAGGCAGCAGUAGGGAAUAUUGCACAAUGGAGGAAACUCUGAUGCAGCGACGCCGCGUGAGUGAUGACGGCUUUCGGGUCGUAAAGCUCUGUCGCAGGGGAAUAACACAAUGAAUGUAUCCUGUAAGAAAGGAUCGGCUAACUUCGUGCCAGCAGCCGCGGUAA